rnacentral:rRNA from 1 species
GUACACGCUGUGACUAGCAUAUCAAUAAGCGGAGGAAAAGAAACUAACAAGGAUUCCCCUAGUAACGGCGAGUGAAGCGGGAAGAGCUCAAAUUUGAAAUCUUAAAGGGUUUCCCUUUACGAAUUGUAGUUUAAAGAAGUGUUUUCUGUUGAGGUUUUGGUAAAAGUUCUUUGGAAUAGGACAUCAUAGAGGGUGAGAAUCCCGUAUUUGACCUUUACUUUCAACUUUGUGAUACACUUUCAAAGAGUCGGAUUGUUUGGGAAUGCAGUCCAAAAUGGGUGGUAAAUUUCAUCUAAAGCUAAAUAUUGGCGAGAGACCGAUAGCGAACAAGUACCGUGAGGGAAAGAUGAAAAGAACUUUGAAAAGAGAGUUAAACAGUACGUGAAAUUGUCAAAAGGGAAGCGUUUGACACCAGUGUUGUUUUUCUGAAAAUCAAUUAAGGAACUGUUUAUGCUAAGUUGUUUAGACUUUAUCAGCUAACAGUUUAGUUUUGAGCUUUUCUUUAAUGCACUUUUCAGUUAACAAGUCAACAUCAAUUUCUUUUGCUGUAAAAAAGCUUGAGGAAGGUGGCUUGAGAUUCGUCUUAAGUGUUUAUAGCCUCUUGCCUAUGCAGUCGGAGAGAUUGAGGUCUGCAGCGUAGAUCCUUCGGGGCUAAAUGCAUUUGUGCUAAGUUAUAGCAUUUAUAGACAACUUGUUGACUAUGAUUUGUCUUGUAGCUUACUCGCUUAUGUUAUUUUACCUACGCUUAGGAUGUUGACAGCAGUAUAGACUGU